rnacentral:rRNA from 1 species
CAGUCACCGCGGUAAUACGAAGGGUGCAAGCGUUACUCGGAAUUACUGGGCGUAAAGCGUGCGUAGGUGGUGGUUUAAGUCCGUUGUGAAAGCCCUGGGCUCAACCUGGGAAUUGCAGUGGAUACUGGGUCACUAGAGUGUGGUAGAGGAUAGUGGAAUUUCCGGUGUAGCAGUGAAAUGCGUAGAGAUCGGAAGGAACAUCUGUGGCGAAGGCGACUAUCUGGGCCAACACUGACACUGAGGCACGAAAGCGUGGGGAGCAAACAGGAUUAGAUACCCGCGUAGUCCCUGUCUCUUAUAU